UACAGAGGGGGCAAGCGUUGUUCGGAAUUACUGGGCGUAAAGCGCGUUCAGGCGGUUUGGCAAGUCGGGCAUGAAAUCUCUCGGCUCAACCGGGAGAGGUUGUCCGAUACUUCCAGACUUGAGGGCAGUAGAGGGUGGUGGAAUUCCGGGUGUAGUGGUGAAAUGCGUAGAUAUCCGGAGGAACACCAGUGGCGAAAGCGGCCACCUGGACUGCACCUGACGCUGACACGCGAAAGCUAGGGGAGCGAACGGG
rnacentral:rRNA from 1 species